rnacentral:rRNA from 1 species
GAGCACAGGUUUACCUGUGUGACUGCGUACCUUUUGUAUAAUGGGUCAGCGACUUAUAUUCUGUAGCAAGGUUAACCGCAUAGGGGAGCCGAAGGGAAACCGAGUCUUAACCGGGCGUUAAGUUGCAGGGUAUAGACCCGAAACCCGGUGAUCUAGCCAUGGGCAGGUUGAAGGUUGGGUAACACUAACUGGAGGACCGAACCGACUAAUGUUGAAAAAUUAGCGGAUGACCUGUGGCUGGGGGUGAAAGGCCAAUCAAACCGGGAGAUAGCUGGUUCUCCCCGAAAGCUAUUUAGGUAGCGCCUCGUGAAUUCAUCUCCGGGGGUAGAGCACUGUUUCGGCUAGGGGGCCAUCCCGGCUUACCAACCCGAUGCAAACUGCGAAUACCGGAGAAUGUUAUCACGGGAGACACACGGCGGGUGCUAACGUCCGUCGUGAAGAGGGAAACAACCCAGACCGCCAGCUAAGGUCCCAAAGUCAUGGUUAAGUGGGAAACGAUGUGGGAAGGCCCAGACAGCCAGGAUGUUGGCUUAGAAGCAGCCAUCAUUUAAAGAAAGCGUAAUAGCUCACUGGUCGAGUCGGCCUGCGCGGAAGAUGUAACGGGGCUAAACCAU